GAUGAACGCUGGCGGCGUGCCUAAUACAUGCAAGUCGAUCGAACAGAUGAGGAGCUUGCUCCUCUGACGUUAGCGGCGGACGGGUUAGUAACACGUGGAUAACCUACCUAUAAGACUGGGAUAACUUCGGGAAACCGGAGCUAAUACCGGAUAAUAUAUUGAACCGCAUGGUUCAAUAGUGAAAGACGGUUUUGCUGUCACUUAUAGAUGGAUCCGCGCCGCAUUAGCUAGUUGGUAAGGUAACGGCUUACCAAGGCAACGAUGCGUAGCCGACCUGAGAGGGUGAUAGGCCACACUGGAACUGAGACACGGUACAGACUCCUAGGGGAGGCAGCAGUAGGGAAUCUUCCGAAAUGGGCGAAAGACUGACGGAGCAACGCCGCGUGAGUGAUGAAGGUCUUCGGAUCGUAAAACUCUGUUAUUAGGGAAGAACAAAUGUGUAAGUAACUAUGCACGUCUUGACGGUACCUUAUCAGAAAGCCACGGCUAACUACGUG
rnacentral:rRNA from 1 species